AGACCCGCGUCUCACCCCGGGCCGGAAGGGCUCCUGCGCAGGCGUUUGUAGCCACUUUUAAGUUUUAUCAGCUAGUUCAUGCUUGCGUUGAAAGAGUGGUCGUUUGCGCUGGGUCAUCACUGUGUAGUAUUGGGGAUACUUAGGUGAGAAAAAAACUUAACGCUAGAGACGUUCACGCACUAGUGGAGAAGCCAGGAUUGUUGCCCUAGAGUUACAGUAGAUAAAAGUACCUCAGAGAACUGCGGGGGCUCCCAACCUGGACGCUUGCACCGGAGUAUUAAAUCCAGCUAGAGAAUGGCAUGUGCAAAGAUACAGAGCUUUUAGAAGUUGCCUGCAUUCCUUGGCCCCUUCCUCACAUCAUUCCAACCAACUUCCAUCCUUACAAUCGAUUACUUUCCUGUAAUAGCUACAGUCAAAUGGGCAGCUGAAGAUGAUGAUGAUGAUGAUCUUGACACCGAGAAGCAGAAGACCAAUGAAGAUGACCAGACAGCAAAAAAGGAUAAGUUAAAAGAAGGUAAAAGAAGGCCACUCGUACUUGCUGUCUCAGUAUCUAAAGGUGGUCACCUUCCAGUAGAGAGGCCCACCCACUGCAGACCGUGCCACCGAAGGUGACAUGCACUUUCUGCCACCCAUCCAAAACCGUAACGUGAAUCUGCAACAGGAGAGGAAAGAAGAACCAAAACUUCCAAGGCCUUGCAUUUUUUCUUAAAAGCAUUUUUUUUUUUUUUUGGAGAUGGAGUCUCACUCUAUUGCCUGGAGUGCAGUGGCGUAAUUUCGGCUCACUGAAGCCUCUGCUUCCCGGGUUUAAGAAAUUCUCUGCCUCAGCCUCCCAAGUAGCUGGGAUUACAGGCACAUGCCACCACACCUGUCUAAUUUUUGUAUUUUUAGGAGAGACAGGGUUUCACCGUGUUGGCCAGGCUGGUCUUGAACUCCUGACCUCGUGAUCCACCUGCCUUGGCCUCCCAAAGUGCUGGGAUUACAGGCCUGAGCCACUGCACCUAGCCAAAAGCAUUUUUUAAAGAAAAAUUGGUCUAUAUUUUUUGUUUCUACUUUAUAUCUUUGUACAUAUUUUUAGAGUGCAGGCAUUUUUAAUAAUCUUGGAUGACCAAAGCAGCUUUCAGAAUGUUCUUUGCCCAACUUCUGACUUUACUUGUAGUGUGACCAUGUUCAUUAGAAUCUCAAAGGAGGAAGAAAAGAAAAAACAAACUUGUAAAAAAUGAAAAAUAGAUCUGGCGAGGUGAUUCACGGCUGUAAGCCCAGCACUUUGAGAGGCUAAGGCGGGUGGAUCACCUGAGGUCAGGAGUUCGAGACCAGCCUGGCCAACAUGGUGAAAUCCUAUCUCUACUAAAUAUACAAAAAUUAGCCAGGUGUGGUGGUGGGUGCCUGUAGUCCCAGCUACUCAGGAGGCUGAGGCAGGAGAAUCUGGAACCCCGGAGGCAGAGGUUGCAGUGAGCCGAGAUCGCACCAUUGCACUCCAGCCUGGGCGACAGAGUGAGACUAUCUGAAAAAAAGCAAAAAUAGGCCAGGCAUGGUGGCUCAUGCCUUGAUCCCAGCACUUUGGUAAGCCUAGGCAGGUGGAUCACUUGAGGUCAGGGGUUCGAGACCAGCUUAGCCAACAUGGUGAAAACCUGUCUCUACUGAAAAUACAAAAAUUAGCCAGGCGUGGUGGUGGGUACCUGUAAUCCCAGCUACGCGGGAGGCUGAGGCAUGAGAAUUGCUUGAACUCAGGAGGCGGAGGUUGCAGUGAGCAGCAGUCAUGCCAUUGCACUCCAGCCUGGUGACAGAGUAAGACUCUGUCUCAAAAAUAAAUAAAUGCAAAAACAACAAAUCUUAUUUUUUCAGCCUGUUCGAUGUAUGUGUGAAACAAUGUUGUCCAACAAUAAACGGGAAUCUUAUUUUUCU
rnacentral:lncRNA from 1 species